CCUCUAGUAACUUGGAGGCAUGCCUGUCUGAGCGUCAUUUAAAACCAUAAACUCAACUGGGUUUGUAUUGGGCAUCGCCUCUGGGCGUAGCUCAAAGUCAUCGGUCUUACACACGGACGAGUCUUCAUGAGGCAGACCGUGUCUGGACUUUAAAUCUCUGACUUGACCUCAGAUCAGGUAGGACUACCGCCUGAACUUAA
rnacentral:misc_RNA from 1 species